AGAAGAUAAACUUCCACAAGUCUCUGAUGGUGGGGCUUGGCACUUCAGAUGGCGAGACAGCCUCCUUUUGGCUCGGUUCUUAGAUCAGCAGCGAGCCACUCAAAAACUCUCUGCCCCAACCUACUCCUACUUGCCAAAAAAGCAGCAAUCAGCCUCGCCAACUUUCUCAGGCAAAGGGACUGGUACAGCAACUUCUUUUCCCCAUUACCUUCAGUGGCCAGAUCUGAGUAAUUCAUACUCAUAGGGCUGGACCACAAAUUAGGGCAGCGAGUGCUUCAUGGUAAUACGGUAGAGCAGAAUAUUCUCAUUUCCAAAUAACGAGUACUAUGAAAACUAUUUUACUCCCCUAAGAUCACCCAAUCAUCACAAACAUUUUAAUCCACAAGACCAAACACCACCAAAAAAAAAAUGUUCAUACGCAAACGAUAAAAAACAACAGACUUUUCUUAACUCCCCCCUACAAGCCAAAAUUCUCCUUCGCAGCCGUUGCAGGCGAAAGAGGGGGGCGAGCAACACACCAGCCAAGUACUCCAAUAACAAGAC
rnacentral:lncRNA from 1 species